rnacentral:rRNA from 1 species
GAACGGUAACAGGAAGAAGCUUGCUUCUUUGCUGACGAGUGGCGGACGGGUGAGUAAUGUCUGGGAAACUGCCUGAUGGAGGGGGAUAACUACUGGAAACGGUAGCUAAUACCGCAUAACGUCGCAAGACCAAAGAGGGGGACCUUCGGGCCUCUUGCCAUCGGAUGUGCCCAGAUGGGAUUAGCUAGUAGGUGGGGUAAAGGCUCACCUAGGCGACGAUCCCUAGCUGGUCUGAGAGGAUGACCAGCCACACUGGAACUGAGACACGGUCCAGACUCCUACGGGAGGCAGCAGUGGGGAAUAUUGCACAAUGGGCGCAAGCCUGAUGCAGCCAUGCCGCGUGUAUGAAGAAGGCCUUCGGGUUGUAAA